rnacentral:snRNA from 1 species
GUACUCACUUCGGCAGCAUAUAUACUAAAAAUCAGAACGAUACAGAGAAGAUUAGCAUGGCCCCUGUGCAAAGAUGACAUGCAAAUUCAUGAAGCAUUCCAUAAUUUU